rnacentral:rRNA from 1 species
UAGGGAAUCUUCCACAAUGGACGCAAGUCUGAUGGAGCAACGCCGCGUGAGUGAGGAAGGUUUUCGGACCGUAAAGCUCUGUUGUUGGUGAAGAAGGAUAGAGGUAGUAACUGGCCUUUAUUUGACGGUAAUCAACCAGAAAGUCACGGCUAACUACGUGCCAGCAGCCGCGGUAAUACGUAGGUGGCAAGCGUUGUCCGGAUUUAUUGGGCGUAAAGCGAGCGCAGGCGGAAGAAUAAGUCUGAUGUGAAAGCCCUCGGCUUAACCGAGGAAUUGCAUCGGAAACUGUUUUUCUUGAGUGCAGAAGAGGAGAGUAGAACUCCAUGUGUAGCGGUGGAAUGCGUAGAUAUAUGGAAGAAUACCAGUGGCGAAGGCGGCUCUCUGGUCUGCAACUGACGCUGAGGCUCGAAAGCAUGGGUAGCGAACAGGAUUAGAUACCCUGGUAGUCCAUGCC